CCGUGGAGGACGCGGGUGUCGUUGUCCGUUCUGUCCAAAAUAACGGACGCUGCCCGCCGCGCCGACGGCACCGUCAAUCGUCGUCUCAUGAACAUCCUCGACUUCAAGUCCUCCGCCACCCCUGCCGCUCCCGUCAGAGGCGUCACCUCAUCCGACGUCACUGUGGAUCCCGCUCGCAAACUCUGGUUCCGCCUCUUCGUCCCCCAGUCCACGUUGUCGACUCCAUCUGAUCUACCCGUCAUCGUAUUCUUCCACGGCGGAGGAUUCACCUUCCUCAGCCCUGCCUCAUUCGCAUACAACGCCGUUUGCCGCAAGUUUGCUCGGAAAUUCCCCGCUGUUGUCGUCUCUGUCAAUUACCGCCUCUGCCCCGAACACCGGUACCCUUCCCCAUACGACGACGGGUUCGACGUCCUUACCUUCCUCGACCAAAAUGAUGACGUCCUCCCCAAAAACGCAGACAGAUCCAGAAUCUUCUUGGCCGGGGACAGCGCGGGAGCCAACGUGGCCCACCACGUGGCGGUUCGGGCCGC
rnacentral:lncRNA from 1 species